rfam:Felis catus isolate Cinnamon breed Abyssinian chromosome A2, whole genome shotgun sequence.
GCCUGGGUGGCUUAGUCGGUUGGGUGUCUGACUUUGGCUCAGGUCAUGAUCUCACAGGCCGUGGGUUCGAGCCCCCCGUCAGGCU